GUGCUUGCUUUAGCAGCAGCGCAUAUACUAAAAUUGGAAUGAUACAAAGAAGAUUAGCAUGGCCUCUGUGCAGGGAUAACAUGCAAAUUUGUGAUUUCAUAACAUCUUAC